rnacentral:rRNA from 1 species
UACGGAAGGCAACAGUGGGGAAUAUUGCACAAUGGGCGAAAGCCUGAUGCAGCUAUGCCGCGUGUAUGAAGAAGGCCUUAGGGUUGUAAAGUACUUUCAUCGGGGAGGAAAAAACAAAACUAAUAAUUUUAUUUCUUGACGUUACCCGAAAAAGAAGCACCGGCUAACUCCGUGCCAGCAGCCGCGGUAAUACGGAGGGUGCUAGCGUUAAUCAGAAUUACUGGGCGUAAAGAGCACGUAGGUGGUUUUUUUAAGUCAGAUGUGAAAUCCCUGGGCUUAACCUAGGAACUGCAUUUUGAAACUGAAAUACUAGAGUAUCGUAGAGGGAGGUAGAAUUCUAGGUGUAGCGGUGAAAUGCGUAGAUAUCUGGAGGAAUACCUGUGGCGAAAGCGGCCUCCUAAACGAAUACUGACACUGAGGGUGCGAAAGCGUGGGGAGCAAACAGGGAUUAGAUACC